rfam:Oryza rufipogon genomic scaffold, chr07
UAUAAGAGAUUAUGAGUUUUCGUUUGCAAUGUUUGACCACUUGUCUUAUUCAAAAAAUUUUGAAAUUAUUAUUUAUUUUAUUUGUGACUUACUUUAUUAUAUAUAAUACUUUAAGCACAACUUUUCGUUUUUUAUAUUUAAAAAAAAGUAAAUAAGACGAGUGGUCAAACGUUACAAGCAAAAACUCAAAAUCCCUUAUA